rnacentral:rRNA from 1 species
UACGUAGGGACCGAGCGUUGUCCGGAAUCAUUGGGCGUAAAGAGCGUGUAGGCGGCCACUUAAGUCCUGCGUGAAAUCUUGCGGCUCAACCGCAAGCGGUCGUGGGAAACUGGGUGGCUAGAGUGCGGGAGAGGAGAAUGGAAUUCCCGGUGUAGCGGUGAAAUGCGCAGAUAUCAGGAAGAACACCCGUGGCGAAGGCGGCUCUCUGGGACGGUACUGACGCUGAGACGCGAAAGCGUGGGGAGCGAACAGG